rnacentral:rRNA from 1 species
CAGUCGCCGCGGUAAUACGUAGGGUGCGAGCGUUAAUUGGAAUUACUGGGCGUAAAGCGUGCGCAGGCGGUUGUGUAAGACAGGUGUGAAAUCCCCGGGCUUAACCUGGGAACUGCGCUUGUGACUGCACAGCUAGAGUAUGGCAGAGGGGGGUGGAAUUCCACGUGUAGCAGUGAAAUGCGUAGAGAUGUGGAGGAACACCGAUGGCGAAGGCAGCCCCCUGGGCCAAUACUGACGCUCAUGCACGAAAGCGUGGGGAGCAAACAGGAUUAGAUACCCCUGUAGUCCCUGUCUCUUAUAA